rnacentral:rRNA from 1 species
CCUACGGGGGGCUGCAGUGGGGAAUAUUGGACAAUGGGCGAAAGCCUGAUCCAGCCAUGCCGCGUGUGUGAAGAAGGCCUUCGGGUUGUAAAGCACUUUCAGUGGGGAAGAAAGCCUUGGGGCUAAUACCCUCGAGGAAGGACAUCACCCACAGAAGAAGCACCGGCUAACUCCGUGCCAGCAGCCGCGGUGAAUACGGAGGGUGCGAGCGUUAAUCGGAAUUACUGGGCGUAAAGCGCGCGUAGGCGGUCUGAUAAGCCGGUUGUGAAAGCCCCGGGCUCAACCUGGGAACGGCAUCCGGACCUGUCAGGCUAGAGUGCAGGAGAGGAAGGUAGAAUUCCCGGUGUAGCGGUGAAAUGCGUAGAGAUCGGGAGGAAUACCAGUGGCGAAGGCGGCCUUCUGGACUGACACUGACGCUGAGGUGCGAAAGCGUGGGUAGCAAACAGGAUUAGAUACCCGAGUAGUC